AUUCGCAUCAGGGGUACGAUCUCCACGAACAGAUUUAAAUCCAACUACCUGGAUGUAUUGGUCACUGUGCUUAUCACUCAGGUGCGUUUCGGUGAAUGCCAUUAAACUGGCAUUUCUAAAAUCGCUGAAGUGUUCUACAUUUGCUCUAAGUAAAUCGAUUUUGUUGUUCAAUGAUCUAACAUUUCCAAGUACUAAAGAUGGUAUAAAUGGCUUACACUUCCUUCGUUGAAGUCUUUUUCUGACUCCUCCAGCCUUACCCCUCUUCCUAAUCCUAGGCUUAUUAUAUGGAAAGACUGUAUAUGUUGACCUAAAGAAGAUGAAGCUCAUACUUUUCAUAUACACUUUGUGUCUUACCUGGAUAUCUUGUAUGCUAAUUUUAAUUAUGCAUAUGCAAAUUACUUAUGCUAAUUUUGGAUGAUUGCGAGGGGUGGACUGUGUAGAGGUCAGUUGAGGAAGAUUGGCUGAGCGGGAGAUAGCUCAAGGGAGGCCAAUGAUUUGAAUGGCCAAAGGAUAGGCCUAAAGGAUUGGAAUUACCCUUGUUUUGCGAAGUAUCCUGCAGUAUGUGGCUAAGUGUGUAGCCUGGAAUAUGCUUGAUAUAUACAAGAAAACUGUGAUGGAAUUGAGCCACCCAAGUUUUAUGAAAAAUAUUACAGGAAACCGUAGUGGAAUUGAGACGCCUGAGUUUUAUGGAUAAUACUGCCGAGAAAACUGUGGUGGAAUUGAGACGCCCGAGUUUUAUGGAUAAUACUGCCGAGAAAACUGUGGUGGAAUUGAGACGCCCGAGUUUUACGGAUACUGUGCUACAAGAAACUAUUGUAGAAAAGCAGGGGGAAUUGAGCCGCCCAAGUUGAUUUGUUGCUACGGUAGAACCGAGCAGACGUAACGUGCCGUGAGAGCAUUUUGUUUAUAAACAUUUCCGUUCGAUAUUUGUAUAAUGAUGAUUCUUUGUUAAUUUUAUAUUAUACCUUUACUUUUCAUUGUUAAAGUCGGAAGAUUCGACGAUUAAAUAGAUAAUCUGGUGUGAAUUGCAACAAGUUGUACUCAGUUAUUUCAUUGGUUGAAGAACACAAACAGAGCUUGUGACAAGCUGAUCAAGAACAAACUCGCUUGCAACCUCAUGAAAGGAAAAGGAAGAUAAAGAGCUUAGUAACACGAUUUUUACAGUUUCGUGCUUCAAGCCAUAGUUCAUCACGACCUGUUGAUUUGGCACGAACCUUAAGACUAUCUCGUCUGUGCAUAAGUGAGAGAAUGUCAUCCCUAUCCUUGAGCCAUUCUGGAAGUUUCCUCUUAAAACGCUUGGUGCUUAGUGGUGCAUGUUUGUCUAUGACAAUCUUCAUGAAAUUAUGUAGAAUUUUCAGGCAAAUGUCGACAUCGCUUAUCUGUGUGAUAUUUGACCAAGGUGUAUUUGGAGGUCUGUACACAGUUGUUAUAUGAACAGGAAAAGUUGUCACAUUGAUUUCAAUCAUCAGUGAUUCGAGUACAUCAUUAAGUUCAUCACUGAUGGAUAUUUCACUGUAAAUGACGUUAUUGGCAAUGUAAAUGGCCACACCUCCACCGUGUCUAUUCCUGUCCUUCCUUAUAAGUGUGUAUCCAGAAAUGUAGAACUUCUAUAUCGGGGAUAACCGGUGAUAGUUUCGACUCGGACACGGGCCUGGAUUAGGGUGACAUCACCGACAAGCUAAUCUGAGCGAUUGAGUUGGAGUUUGCGUACCGCAAGUACGGUGCGCUGUAUCGCUUCCGCCUACCAGGUUGAUUGAUUACGACCCGUCGACGUUGUUGAAUUUGCUUAACAAUGCAAACAGGUGCAAUAACUCGUAGUUUGACCGAUGUUUCAUUAUAAACAUGUAUAAUAUUGUAAAAUACUUUAGAUAAAUAAUAAAAACAUUUCGGAAAUAAAUCCACGUCAUAG